ACGCAGCUCUCGGCACAACAAACACAACACAAAAUCAAUUUAUAAAGAAAGCAAGUAAAAAGAAUAUUCCAAAUUGCAAAAUGAAACCCGCGAAAAGAAAGAAAUCCUAUUAAAAUUCCAUUUCGAAUAACAUGCAGAUAAUAUAAUAAGAGCACACAUCCUCUCUCACACAUACACGUAAUUAGCCAUUUGUUGCAGUUUGCUCACAGGACUACCCGUGAUGAUGGAAUUCAUAUGUUUAUUAUUAUUGUAUUUCCAUGUGUACAACGAGAGCCGAUCAGAUUAUGUGGUUUCUGGUAAGCAAAAAGGUUUCCGGUAAGCCAACGGCAAAAACUCUUAACCAUAUUCCCGCCGAGUUAUAUCCACAGAUCGGCCUAGACAUAUACGAAUGGAGACUAAAAAACAGUCUUAAUUUUGUGGCGCGUACAUUUCAUUAAAUUUCAUACAUUUCAAAUAGUUCUACAAUAGCUCAGGCAACCUUCAACGAUUGGUAUGGCAAUCAUGACCAAUCAUGACCAGCUGGAAUAGACCAGAAAUUCACUCUGAUACUCGGAUGCACUCUAGAUAUACAUACAUAGUUCUACACAUCUUGACUUCCAUACACACUUAUAUCGAAUAUGCAUAUAUAUAUAUUUAUUUAGACAUAUAU
rnacentral:sRNA from 1 species